rnacentral:rRNA from 1 species
UGUCUCAGUACAAGCCAAAUUAAGGUGAAACCGCGAAAGGCUCAUUAAAUCAGUUAUGGUUCCUUAGAUCGUACCCACAUUUACUUGGAUAACUGUGGUAAUUCUAGAGCUAAUACAUGCAAACAGAGCUCCGACCGGAGACGGAAGGAGCGCUUUUAUUAGAUCAAAACCAAUCGGUGGCGGUUUCCGUCAUCGUACAACUUGGUGACUCUGAAUAACUUUACGCUGAUCGCACGGUCUUGCACCGGCGACGCAUCUUUCAAAUGUCUGCCUUAUCAACUGUCGAUGGUAGGUUCUGCGCCUACCAUGGUUGUAACGGGUAACGGGGAAUCAGGGUUCGAUUCCGGAGAGGGAGCCUGAGAAACGGCUACCACAUCCAAGGAAGGCAGCAGGCGCGCAAAUUACCCACUCCCGGCACGGGGAGGUAGUGACGAAAAAUAACGAUACGGGACUCAUCCGAGGCCCCGUAAUCGGAAUGAGUACACUCUAAACCCUUUAACGAGGAUCAAUUGGAGGGCAAGUCUGGUGCCAGCAGCCGCGGUAAUUCCAGCUCCAAUAGCGUAUAUUAAAGUUGUUGCGGUUAAAAAGCUCGUAGUCGAAUCUGUGUCCCGCGCCGCCGGUUCAUCGUUCGCGGUGUUAACUGGCGUGCCGCGGGACGUCCUGCCGGUGGGCUUAGCUCGCAAGGGCGGCCCNAACUCAAUCCCGCCGCGGUGCUCUUCAUUGAGUGUCGAGGUGGGCCGGCACGUUUACUUUGAACAAAUUAGAGUGCUUAAAGCAGGCUAAAACUUUGCCUGAAUACUGUGUGCAUGGAAUAAUGGAAUAGGACCUCGGUUCUAUUUUGUUGGUUUUCGGAACCCCGAGGUAAUGAUUAAUAGGAACGGAUGGGGGCAUUCGUACUGCG